rnacentral:lncRNA from 12 species
AUGCUUAUUACAAAAAAUUACUGUUACAUAAACCACUCUCCUCCUGGUUCUAUUUUCUGCCCCCUUUUGCUACAUGCAUUGACUUUGUUGGUUGAGUUUUUUUGGUUGUUGUUUUUAAUAGCCUUAAAGGAGGUUCUCUCAUCUUGCAAGCGAAGCAAAAUCUUGUGGGACUUCAGAAGGCAAAAGGUAGAAUCGGUUCCAAGUUUUAUUGUAGAUGCGAGACAGUCCUGCUUAGUCAAUCAGUAUAAUGUGGGAAUUUCCAAUAUUAGCAAGACAUCUGGCAGCAUAUCCACUGUGAAUCCACAUCUAAAGAGUGCGGUGAAUUUCAAGAUGAGAUCUGUACAAUAUCACAAAUAGUCUGAUUAUACUUUCCGUGGGCUCUGGUUGUGAACCAUGGACACAUGUAGAAACACCUGGCAGCCGGAAACAGGUAACCAGUAACUCGAAUCAGAAGUGUGGAAGGGGUGGUGGUGGGAGUGGGGUGGGCAUUGGUAGUCUUAGAUGCACCCAGGAGAUUCUAACGUGGGGACAGGGUGAGGAGUCACUGCUUCAGGCCGGAAUUCGAUACCGUGAUCUGCGGCGACGCGCAGAGUGAGGAGGGUUAGGACAUGUUCCUGGGCUUGUCAAAAGCAGGACUCUCCGCGGCAGGAGGGGUGGGGUGCAGGGGCUGCCUCUGGGCAGCCCGCAGAUCCCUUGGUUUCGUCUACACACAGAUUUUUUCAGUGCCUCCAUUUUCAGAUGAUGUCUCUGAGAAACAAGACUGAGGCUUUAAAAAUUAUUACUAGUUGAGAAUUCUAAUAGAGACUAAGAACCUGGGGCCUCUGCCCAGUGGAGCGGAGAGUCAGUGAACACCACUACGCACCUGGGUGGCUUUCUGUUUGCUCUUACUGUUCAACUGCUUCUCUUGAAAAGCUCCGAAAAGCACCAACCGGCGGGCUGCCCGGAGAGGUACCUGCCAACUUCGACCAAUCAAGACGAGGCUCUUCCAAUCAAUCAGAACGUUAUGGCCCGCCUCUCCUUCCCUCAUUAGCCUAUUGUACGGGGGGUGGGAACCUGAGUGAGCAUUUUCUCUGCAUAAACACGGCCUCCACUUCGGAGAGGCCACACUAACUGCCCUCUGCUGGCGCCGCCUGUCUCCUUUCAGCUCCAGAUGAGCCAUAGCCCCAGUAAAGCCUUGCCUGUGCCUUAGACAUUUGGGCCAGGUCUCAUUUCUGCAUCAUCAGGCCCAGGAACCUGCUGACUCUGGUAACGCAGUUCUCAGGCAAGAAGAGAUGUUUUGCGACCACCGAAGGUAACUUGGGCAUCCUUUUGACAUUUCUUUGUUUCAAGGUCCCUAAAUCGAAACCUGCCUCAUUCA